CCUACGGGAGGCAGCAGUGGGGAAUAUUGCACAAUGGGCGGAAGCCUGAUGCAGCGACGCCGCGUGGGGGAUGACGGCCUUCGGGUUGUAAACUCCUUUCACCAUCGACGAAGGUUUUCUGACGGUAGAUGGAGAAGAAGCACCGGCUAACUACGUGCCAGCAGCCGCGGUAAUACGUAGGGUGCGAGCGUUGUCCGGAAUUACUGGGCGUAAAGAGCUCGUAGGUGGUUUGUCGCGUCGUCUGUGAAAUUCCGGGGCUUAACUCCGGGCGUGCAGGCGAUACGGGCAUAACUUGAGUACUGUAGGGGAGACUGGAAUUCCUGGUGUAGCGGUGAAAUGCGCAGAUAUCAGGAGGAACACCGGUGGCGAAGGCGGGUCUCUGGGCAGUAACUGACGCUGAGGAGCGAAAGCAUGGGUAGCGAACAGGAUUAGAUACCCCGGUAGUC
rnacentral:rRNA from 1 species